rnacentral:rRNA from 1 species
ACCCGCUGAACUUAAGCAUAUCAAUAAGCGGAGGAAAAGAAACCAACAGGGAUUGCCCUAGUAACGGCGAGUGAAGCGGCAACAGCUCAAAUUUGAAAUCUGGCUCUUUUAGAAUCCGAGUUGUAAUUUGCAGAGGGCGCUUUGGCUUUGGCAGCGGUCCAAGUUCCUUGGAACAGGACGUCACAGAGGGUGAGAAUCCCGUACGUGGUCGCUGGCUAUUGCCGUGUAAAGCCCCUUCGACGAGUCGAGUUGUUUGGGAAUGCAGCUCUAAAUGGGAGGUACAUUUCUUCUAAAGCUAAAUAUUGGCCAGAGACCGAUAGCGCACAAGUAGAGUGAUCGAAAGAUGAAAAGCACUUUGGAAAGAGAGUCAAACAGCACGUGAAAUUGUUGAAAGGGAAGCGCUUGCAGCCAGACUUGCUUACAGUUGCUCAUCCGGGCUUUUGCCCGGUGCACUCUUCUGUAGGCAGGCCAGCAUCAGUUUGGGCGGUAGGAUAAAGGUCUCUGUCACGUACCUCUCUUCGGGGAGGCCUUAUAGGGGAGACGACAUACUACCAGCCUGGACUGAGGUCCGCGCAUCUGCUAGGAUGCUGGCGUAAUGGCUGU